rnacentral:lncRNA from 1 species
UAAUUACAUGUGCUCCAUAAAAGUGAUGCAAUGAUAAAUGCGUUAGAAAUAGGGAUUCAAAUCUGUGUUUAUUGAUAUGUUAAUUGUUAAGUUGGGAACGUGGUAGGCCAGCCGUCAAUCUUUUUUAUGUCUGGCACAUCAGCACAAUGAGACAUUACAGCGGCGAGAAGAGUUGUUGAGAAUGCCACCCUGAACCCUAAACCAUAAAACCAAAACACUAAACAAUAAAACAAACACCCUAUACCCUAAACCGUAAACCCUCAACCCUGAACCCUAAACCCUGGACCCUAAACUCCGACAUAAACAAUAAACCAUUAAAACUAAUACGUUGGCCCUAAACCCUAAACCAUUAACCCUCGACCCUAAAAGCCUAAAAUCCCUACUUACCCUAAACACUAAACCAUUAACCCUCGACCCUAAAAGCCUAAAACCUAAACCCUGAACCCUAAACCCUAGACCCUAAACUAAUCGGAUGGCCCAAAACCCUAAAAUCCCUACAUCCUAAUACCCUAGACCAAAAACGUUCAAACCUAAACCGAAUACCAUAAACCCUAAACACUAACCCCUAAUCCCUAAACCCUAAACCCAAAAACCUAAACACUAAACCAUAAACCCUGAACCGUAAACCGUAAACCCUAAACCCUAAACCCUUAACCUUACACCCUAAACCCUAACCCCGAAAACCAAAAAACCCAAAAACAGGAAACGCUAAACCCUAAACCCGAAACACUAAAACCCUAAACCCUAAACCCUAAAAACCCUAAACCCUAAACCCUAAACCCUAAACACUAACAAGCUAAACCAUAAACCGUAAACCCUAAUACCCUAAUCCCUUUAACCUA